GAAAGAAUAGGUUUCGAGCUUUAGAAAUAAAAUCAAAUAUUGCUUCAUCAUGCUUUGAUGCUACAUGUUCAUGAUUUUCACUCAUCUUUUAUUUUUUGUUAUUUUGCACCAAAAUGUUUUUUAAUAUCUUAGCAUACAUGUACUUAAUGAAUGUUCAACUAAAUUUCAAACUCCAAUGAAAAAGUGGGAUAACACAAAAGUAAAUGUUUAAUGGUGAUCAUAGGCUAACCAGUUUUUGGACCUAAUUCACAGAUUUCAUAACUCUAUUGAGGAAUAUUCAAAUAUGUUGAAAUGAUAAGGAAAUAUUUAAACAUAUAUUUCCAAGGUGGAUAUUGAAAUAGUUUUAACCUUUUUUUAAUCAUCUUUUUAAUUUGUGGAUUUAUUUCAAUAAGAAUACAAAUACAGUAUGACCCUUAUGAUAUGAUAGGAAUUUAUUGUAGUUAUUGAACCAGUGGUUUAUCAUCGUGAAAUACUGGUUUUGCUAAUACAAGGUGAUUGAACUGAAUUGAAAAUGAAAACUCUGAAUAGAAAUUAUCUUUGAAUUUUGUAAUAAUAACAAUGCCACUGAGUGGCCAGGUUGUAUAGCAUUACCAAUGUCCAUCAUUUGUUAACCAAACCUCUGUUUUAAUUUCUUUAUGCUUGUUGUUAUUGAGUUGGAUUGUAAGGUGAUAGUGAUGAGUUACAGAUUUACAUUAGUUUUACUUUCAUUUCAAAUGACCUACUUGUCACAGAUUUACUGUGUCUUCUACAGGCUAGGGCAUUUGUGUUCUUCUGACAUGUGUACAAUAGUCUGAAUCUUUAGAAAUUCCCACCUAAAACAUCAUUUGAAAAUGUCCAAUGGUGAUAUUUAAUUGUUACAUGAUAACAUAUAUGAUAUAUAUGCAUUCAUACAGUGUAGACUGAGCAUUAUUAUAUUUUUUAAUGUGAAAGUUAUUAUUGCAUUCUUAAGUUACAAAUUUGAAUAAAUAACCUUAUUAUAGGAAUACAAAUGUGUGAUUUUCAAACUGUUUGUAUUUUAAUGUGUGUGUUUUAAAAUCAUAUUGAUUUUAUUCCCUCCUGUUAUAACAAGUGCUUUCAUGAUACAAAGUUUAAAGUAGGUUUUAUAUAUAAAAAUAAUAUUUGAGGUCUAAUUGAUUUUUACAUGUACAAUAUUAUUCAUGAAUUAUGGUUAUUUCAUUUUUUUGCAUGUAUUUAUAAAAAAAUUCAUGUGUAAUAUUGUUUAGCAAUCCCUUUAUUCAAUUUUUAAGAUACCAAACAAUGACCUCAUUUAAUAUUUUAGAAGACCUGUCAUUGUAUUGAGAUAAAAAUUAAUGUUUUAGAAAACCAGUUAUGGUACUGAACCCUGUACACAAAUCUAAGUUGUGUUCAAGCAUUGACAUAUGGGUAGAGUUCAAAACAUUAACUUAUUUAGAUAACACUAAUUAACAUCCUUCAAAUGUAGAAAAAAAAAGUCAGAAAAUAUUAAGAUUCAUAGAACUAGCAGUGAUAAACACGUAUUAUGAAAGAGAAAAAAUAUUUCGGGAAACUUUCAAGAUAUAAAGAAGUCCAAUGAACUAUACAAACAUAGAAAUAUAUUGAAUAAAAAGAAGAGCAAAAAAUCAAAUCUUAAGCAACAGAAUUAGAUUUCAUUAAAUAAUUGAAUCCACAAUCAGUGUAUCCCAAACUCUGUCUGACUGACAGAAUUUUUAUGAUUUUUUGGUUGAAUAUAUUGUAGAAAAUUCAAAUUUCUUUUUUGAUCGGUCAAACCCUCAAACUGUUUGGCACUGACUGCACCAUAAUCAUAAUAAGAAAUUUGCAACAUCUUAGCCAGUACUAACCAAAGGAUGGACAUUUUAUUAUUAAUCUCUUUAAGUUUUGAAUGAUUUGUUUUGGUUGUAUAUUUAUUUACUCAUGAGUUGUGUGUUCAUUCAUAUCCAUUUAAGACAUUACAAAAUGUAAACCUGAUCAGAAUGAAUGUGUUUUAAGUAUAAAAUAGCAAUAAAGACCACAUUUUGACAUAGUGAUUAUUUUUAUGAUUUUUUGUUGUUAGGUUGUAAUUCUUCAACAAUUACCCUGUUGUCUCCUUCCAUUCCUACUUUUGGUAUUAUAAGUGGUUCAAUAUCCACAAAUCUAGUUGUGAUGUAGAUAUGAAAAUAUUGAUAUACAGGUGCUAUUUUAUUUCUUAUGAAAUUUAAGAGAAUCCUAAGGAUCAGCCUACUGGCCAAUCUAUUGUUAUAUUAAAAAUCUACCUGAUGUGCAACAGUACAAGGUAACAUACCCAUAACCAGUAUUAGGGGGAAAUUAUCAGAUUCUUAGAGGCUUUACUAAAGCUGUAAGACACACUUAGUACUAGGUUAAAUGUUCACUCUUUCAAUUCGUAUCGAACUAGGUGUGAUAUAUCUUAAACGCCAUUUGGUGUAUAUUGUAUAUAUUUAGAUUCUUAGACUUAUAUCAUGUGGAAAACGGUCAGGUUUACAGGUGUGUUGUACAUAAAUCAUGAUUUAAUCAUUUUAUUUUUAUUUUUAUUUCCCCAUUAUGUACAGAUUUGUAUCUAGUCUAUUCAUUUUAAUGCAUGUUUAUUUUGUAUAUUUUACUGGUGUGGGAUAAGAGUAGUUGUGAUAGACAAAAUACACAUUUAUCAUGAAAGGCAUUUUACAAGUGAGUUGUUUGUAAAGUAAUAUAUUUUAUAUAAUAGUGUAUAUUACAUAUACUUGAUAUUGUACUUAAAUGGUAUGGGAAUGAGUUGAUUUAUAUAAUAAUGAAUUAUGUAUAAACAAAAUUCAUAACAAUAAUCAGAAAUAAAC
rnacentral:lncRNA from 1 species